UCCAGCCUGCCCAGUGACUUAGUUCAACGGCCGCGGUAUCCUAACCGUGCGAAGGUAGCGUAAUCACUUGUUUUCUAAAUAAAGACUAGUAUGAAAGGCACCACGAGAACUAAACUGUCUCCUUUCUCUAAUCAGUGAAUCUAAUCUCCCCGUGAAAAAGCGGGGAUAACCUAAUAAGACGAGAAGACCCUAUGGAGCUUUAAACCUAUAACACCUGCUCUAAUAACACUAUAAUGUUACUUACAUGAUGAUUACAAGUUUUUGGUUGGGGUGACUACGGAGAAAAAACAACCCUCCGUGAUGAAAAUUCCUAAACAACAAGCUACAGCUUUAUGUAUCAGCAAACUGACACUAUUGACCCAAUACAUUGAUCAACGAACCAAGUUACCCUAGGGAUAACAGCGCUAUCCACUUAGAGAGCCCCUAUCGACAAGUGGGCUUACGACCUCGAUGUUGGAUCAGGGUAUCCCAGUGGUGCAGCCGCUACUAAAGGUUCGUUUGUUCAACGAUUAAAACCCU
rnacentral:rRNA from 1 species